GUCUUUACUGACGCUGAGGCACGAAAGCGUGGGGAGCAAACAGGAUUAGAUACCCUGGUAGUCCACGCCCUAAACGAUGAGUACUAAACGUUGGAUAAAACCAGUGUUGAAGUUAACACAUUAAGUACUCCGCCUGAGUAGUUCGUACGCAAGUAUGAAACUUAAAGGAAUUGACGGGACUCCGCACAAGCGGUGGAUCAUGUUGUUUAAUUCGAAGGUACCCGAAAAACCUCACCAGGUCUUGACAUGCUUUUGCAAAGCUGUAGAAAUACAGUGGAGGUUAUCAGAAGCACAGGUGGUGCAUGGUUGUCGUCAGCUCGUGUCGUGAGAUGUUGGGUUAAGUCCCGCAACGAGCGCAACCCUUGUUGUUAAUUGCCAUCAUUAAGUUGGGGACUUUAGCAAGACUGCCAAUGAUAUAUUGGAGGAAGGUGGGGACGACGUCAAAUCAUCAUGCCCCUUAUGACCUGGGCUACAAACGUGAUACAAUGGCUGUUACAAAGGGUAGCUGAGG
rnacentral:rRNA from 1 species